UGGGGAAUUUUGGGACAAUGGGCGCAAGCCUGAUCCAGCCAUGCCGCGUGCGGGAAGAAGGCCUUCGGGUUGUAAACCGCUUUUGUCAGGGAAGAAAUCUUCUGAGUUAAUACCUCGGGGAGGAUGACGGUACCUGAAGAAUAAGCACCGGCUAACUACGUGCCAGCAGCCGCGGUAAUACGUAGGGUGCAAGCGUUAAUCGGAAUACUGGGCGUAAAGCGCGCGCAGGCGGUUUUGUAAGACAGAGGUGAAAUCCCCGGGCUCAACCUGGGAACUGCCUUUGUGACUGCAAGGCUUGAGUGCGGCAGAGGGGGGAUGGAAUUCCGCGUGUAGCAGUGAAAUGCGUAGAUAUGCGGAGGAACACCGAUGGCGAAGGCAAUCCCCUGGGCCUGCACUGACGCUCAUGCACGAAAGCGUGGGGA
rnacentral:rRNA from 1 species